rnacentral:rRNA from 1 species
GCCAGACUCCUACGGGAGGCAGCAGUGGGGAAUAUUGCACAAUGGGGGAAACCCUGAUGCAGCAACGCCGCGUGAGUGAAGAAGUAUUUCGGUAUGUAAAGCUCUAUCAGCAGGGAAGAAAAUGACGGUACCUGAGUAAGAAGCCCCGGCUAACUACGUGCCAGCAGCCGCGGUAAUACGUAGGGGGCAAGCGUUAUCCGGAUUUACUGGGUGUAAAGGGAGCGUAGACGGCGAUACAAGUCUGAAGUGAAAGCCCGGGGCUCAACCCCGGGACUGCUUUGGAAACUGUGUUGCUGGAGUGCUGGAGAGGCAAGCGGAAUUUCUAGUGUAGCGGUGAAAUGCGUAGAUAUUAGGAGGAACACCAGUGGCGAAGGCGGCUUACUGGACUGUAACUGACGUUGAGGCUCGAAAGCGUGGGGAGCAAACAGGACUAGAUACCCGUGUAC